UACGUAGGGGGCAAGCGUUACCCGGAUUUACUGGGCGUAAAGCGCGUGUAGGCGGCUGGCCAAGUGUGGUGUGAAAUCCCCGGGCUUAACCUGGGAAUGGCAUUUGGGACUGCAAGGCUUGAGUGCGGCAGAGGAGACUGGAAUUCCUGGUGUAGCAGUGAAAUGCGUAGAUAUCAGGAGGAACACCGAUGGCGAAGGCAGGUCUCUGGGCUGACACUGACGCUCAUGCACGAAAGCGUGGGGAGCAAACAGG
rnacentral:rRNA from 1 species